GCUUCGCUGACGAGUGGCUGGACGGGUGAGUAAUGUCUGGGAAACUGCCUGAUGGAGGGGGAUAACUACUGGAAACGGUAGCUAAUACCGCAUAACGUCGCAAGACCAAAGAGGGGGACCUUCGGGCCUCUUGCCAUCGGAUGUGCCCAGAUGGGAUUAGCUAGUAGGUGGGGUAACGGCUCACCUAGGCGACGAUCCCUAGCUGGUCUGAGAGGAUGACCAGCCACACUGGAACUGAGACACGGUCCAGACUCCUACGGGAGGCAGCAGUGGGGAAUAUUGCACAAUGGGCGCAAGCCUGAUGCAGCCAUGCCGCGUGUAUGAAGAAGGCCUUCGGGUUGUAAAGUACUUUCAGCGGGGAGGAAGGCGAUAAGGUUAAUAACCUUGUCGAUUGACGUUACCCGCAGAAGAAGCACCGGCUAACUCCGUGCCAGCAGCCGCGGUAAUACGGAGGGUGCAAGCGUUAAUCGGAAUUACUGGGCGUAAAGCGCACGCAGGCGGUCUGUCAAGUCGGAUGUGAAAUCCCCGGGCUCAACCUGGGAACUGCAUUCGAAACUGGCAGGCUAGAGUCUUGUAGAGGGGGGUAGAAUUCCAGGUGUAGCGGUGAAAUGCGUAGAGAUCUGGAGGAAUACCGGUGGCGAAGGCGGCCCCCUGGACAAAGACUGACGCUCAGGGUGCGAAAGCGUUGGGGGAGCAAACAGGAUUAGAUACCCUGGUAGU
rnacentral:rRNA from 1 species